UACGUAGGGGGCAAGCGUUGUCCGGAAUCAUUGGGCGUAAAGCGCGUGUAGGCGGUCCGGUAAGUCCGCUGUGAAAGUCCAGGGCUCAACCCUGGAAUGCCGGUGGAUACUGUCGGGCUCGAGUCCGGAAGAGGCGAGUGGAAUUCCUGGUGUAGCGGUGAAAUGCGCAGAUAUCAGGAGGAACACCAAUGGCGAAGGCAGCUCGCUGGGCCGAAACUGACGCUGAGGAGCGAAAGCGUGGGUAGCGAACAGG
rnacentral:rRNA from 1 species